AACGAACGCUGGCGGCAGGCUUAACACAUGCAAGUCGAGCGCCCCGCAAGGGGAGCGGCAGACGGGUGAGUAACGCGUGGGAAUCUACCCAUCUCUACGGAAUAACGCAUGGAAACGUGUGCUAAUACCGUAUACGUCCUUCGGGAGAAAGAUUUAUCGGAGAUGGAUGAGCCCGCGUUGGACUAGCUAGUUGGUGGGGUAAAGGCCUACCAAGGCGACGAUCCAUAGCUGGUCUGAGAGGAUGAUCAGCCACACUGGGACUGAGACACGGCCCAGACUCCUACGGGAGGCAGCAGUGGGGAGUAUUGGACAAUGGGCGCAAGCCUGAUCCAGCCAUGCCGCGUGAGUGAUGAAGGCCCUAGGGUUGUAAAGCUCUUUCACCGGUGAAGAUAAUGACGGUAACCGGAGAAGAAGCCCCGGCUAACUUCGUGCCAGCAGCCGCAGUAACAC
rnacentral:rRNA from 1 species